GGGUCAGUAGGUUGGUCGUGCCACCGGUACGUACUGGUCUCACUGAUUCCUCCUUCCUGAAGAACCGUAAUGCCAUUAAUUUGGCGUUGCGGGGAAACAGGACUGUUACUUUGAAAAAAUUAGAGUGUUUAAAGCAAGCUAACGCUUGAAUACAUUAGCAUGGAAUAAUGAAACAGGACGAUCGAUCCUAUUUUGUUGGCUUCUAGGAUUGACGUA
rnacentral:rRNA from 1 species